AUUGAACGCUGGCGGCAUGCUUUACACAUGCAAGUCGAACGGUAACAGGCCUUCGGGCGCUGACGAGUGGCGAACGGGUGAGUAAUGCAUCGGAACGUGCCCAGUCGUGGGGGAUAACGCAGCGAAAGCUGUGCUAAUACCGCAUACGAUCUGUGGAUGAAAGCGGGGGACCUUCGGGCCUCGCGCGAUUGGAGCGGCCGAUGUCAGAUUAGGUAGUUGGUGGGGUAAAGGCCCACCAAGCCGACGAUCUGUAGCUGGUCUGAGAGGACGACCAGCCACACUGGGACUGAGACACGGCCCAGACUCCUACGGGAGGAAGCAGUGGGGAAUUUUGGACAAUGGGCGCAAGCCUGAUCCAGCAAUGCCGCGCGCAGGAAGAAGGCCUUCGGGUUGUAAACUGCUUUUGUACGGAGCGAAAAGGCUCCCUCUAAUACAGGGGGCUCAUGACGGUACCGUAAGAAUAAGCACCGGCUAACUACGUGCCAGCCGCCGCCGUAA
rnacentral:rRNA from 1 species